rfam:Triticum aestivum genome assembly, contig: Triticum_aestivum_CS42_TGACv1_scaffold_271744_3DS
GGAUGUGAUCAUACCAGCAGUAAAGCACCGGAUCCCAUCAGAACUCCGAAGUUAAGUGUGCUUGGGCGAGAGUAGUACUAGGAUGGGUUCCCUCUUGGGAAGUCCUUGUGUUGCAUUCC